rnacentral:rRNA from 1 species
UGACGGAGCAACGCCGCGUGAGUGACGAAGGCCUUCGGGUCGUAAAGCUCUGUUGUUAGGGAAGAACAAGUACCGUUCGAAUAGGGCGGUACCUUGACGGUACCUAACCAGAAAGCCACGGCUAACUACGUGCCAGCAGCCGCGGUAAUACGUAGGUGGCAAGCGUUGUCCGGAAUUAUUGGGCGUAAAGCGCGCGCAGGCGGUCUCUUAAGUCUGAUGUGAAAGCCCACGGCUCAACCGUGGAGGGCCAUUGGAAACUGGGGGACUUGAGUGCAGAAGAGGAGAGUGGAAUUCCACGUGUAGCGGUGAAAUGCGUAGAUAUGUGGAGGAACACCAGUGGCGAAGGCGGCUCUCUGGUCUGUAACUGACGCUGAGGCGCGAAAGCGUGGGGAGCAAACAGGAUUAGAUACCCUGGUAGUCCACGCCGUAAACGAUGAGUGCUAGGUGUUGGGGGGUUCCACCCUCAGUGCUGAAGUUAACACAUUAAGCACUCCGCCUGGGGAGUACGACCGCAAGGUUGAAACUCAAAGGAAUUGACGGGGGCCCGCACAAGCAGUGGAGCAUGUGGUUUAAUUCGAAGCAACGCGAAGAACCUUACCAGGUCUUGACAUCCUCUGCCACUCCUAGAGAUAGGACGUUCCCCUUCGGGGACAGAGUGACAGGUGGUGCAUGGUUGUCGUCAGCUCGUGUCGUGAGAUGUUGGGUUAAGUCCCGCAACGA